AGAGUUUGAUCAUGGCUCAGGACGAACGCUUGCGGCGUGCCUAAGAAAUGCAAGUCGAGCGAGAACCAACCUUCGGGUGAAGUUCUAGCGGCGAACGGUCGCGUAACACGUAAGCAACCUGCCCUAAAGUUGGGGAUAGCCCUCCGAAAGGAGGAUUAAUACCGAAUGUGGACAUAUUUUCGCAUGUUUAUAUGUCUAAAGCAGCGAUGCGCUUUAGGAUGGGCUUGCGGCCUAUCAGCUAGUUGGUGUGGGUAACGGCCUACCAAGGCGACGACGGGUAGCUGGUCUGAGAGGAUGGUCAGCCGGAUUGGGACUGAGACACGGCCCAGACUCCUACGGGGGGCAGCAAUUAGGAAUCUUGCGCAAUGGGCGAAAGCCUGACGCAGCGACGCCGCGUGACUGAUGAAGUCUUUCGGGAUGUAAAGGUCUUUUGCAGGGGACGAAGGAAGUGACGGUACCCUGCGAAUAAGCCCCGGCUAACUACGUGCCAGCAGCCGCGGUAAUACGUAGGGGGCGAGCGUUGUCCGAAUUCACUGGGCGUAAAGCGCGCGUAGGCGGGUUUUUAAGUUGUGGGUGAAAUUCCGAGGCUCAACCUCGUAACUGCCUGCAAAACUGGGAGCCUUGAGGUAUGGAGAGGGAAGUGGAAUUCCUGGUGUAGCGGUGAAAUGCGUAGAUAUCAGGAGGAACACCCGUGGCGAAAGGCGGCUUCCUGGCCAUAUCCUGACGCUGAGGUGCGAAAGCUAGGGUAGCGAACGGGAUUAGAUACCCCGGUAGUCCUAGCCGUAAACGAUGGAUACUAGGUGUUAGAGGUAUCGACCCCUCUAGUGCCGCAGCUAACGCAUUAAGUAUCCCGCCUGGGGAGUACGACCGCAGGUGAAACUCAAAGGAAUUGACGG
rnacentral:rRNA from 1 species